GACCGAAUGUCAGGUGUUGGAUUGUAAAUCCACAGUACGGGGGUUCAAAUCCUUCUAUUAUCA
rnacentral:tRNA from 1 species